rnacentral:rRNA from 1 species
AGAAUCAACGCUGGCGGCGUGCCUAACACAUGCAAGUCGAACGAGAAAGUGGAGCAAUCCAUGAGUAAAGUGGCGACCGGGUGAGUAACACGUGACUAACCUACCUUCGAGUGGGGGAUAACUCCGGGAAACCGGGGCUAAUACCGCAUAACAUCGCAAGAUCAAAGCAGCAAUGCGCUGGAAGAGGGGGUCGCGGCUGAUUAGCUAGUUGGCGGGGUAACGGCCCACCAAGGCGAAGAUCGGUAUCCGGCCUGAGAGGGCGCACGGACACACUGGAACUGAAACACGGUCCAGACUCCUACGGGAGGCAGCAGUGGGGAAUUUUGCGCAAUGGGGGAAACCCUGACGCAGCAACGCCGCGUGGAGGAUGAAGCCCCUUGGGGCGUAAACUCCUUUCGACCAAGACGAUAAUGACGGUACUGGUGGAAGAAGCACCGGCUAACUCUGUGCCAGCAGCCGCGGUAAUACAGAGGGUGCGAGCGUUGUUCGGAAUUAUUGGGCGUAAAGGGUGCGUAGGCGGUGCCACAAGUCACCUGUGAAAUCCCCGGGCUCAACUCGGGGCCUGCAGGCGAAACUGUGGUGCUGGAGUAUGGGAGAGGUGCGUGGGAUUCCCGGUGUAGCGGUGAAAUGCGUAGAUAUCGGGAGGAACACCUGUGGCGAAAGCGGCGCACUGGACCAUAACUGACGCUGAUGCACGAAAGCUAGGGGAGCAAACAGGAUUAGAUACCCUGGUAGUCCUAGCCCUAAACGAUGAUUGCUUGGUGUAGCAGUACCCAAUCCUGCUGUGCCGCAGCUAACGCGAUAAGCAAUCCGCCUGGGGAGUACGGUCGCAAGGCUGAA